UAAUACUGUCAGGUAACGAUGCC
rnacentral:ncRNA from 2 species